CGUAGGGGGCUAGCGUUGUCCGGAAUCAUUGGGCGUAAAGCGCGCGUAGGCGGCCCGGUAAGUCCGCUGUGAAAGUCAAAGGCUCAACCUUUGAAUGUCAGCGGAUACUGCCGGGCUAGAGUCCGGAAGAGGCGAGUGGAAUUCCUGGUGUAGCGGUGGAAUGCGCAGAUAUCAGGAGGAACACCAACGGCGAAGGCAGCUCGCUGGGACGGUACUGACGCUGAGGCGCGAAAGCGUGGGGAGCGAACAGGAUUAGAUACCCUGGUAGUCCACGCCGUAAACGAUGGACACUAGGUGUGGGAGGUGUCGACUCCUCCCGUGCCGGCGCUAACGCAUUAAGUGUCCCGCCUGGGGAGUACGGCCGCAAGGCUA
rnacentral:rRNA from 1 species